CUAGGACGAACGCUGGCGGCAUGCCUAACACAUGCAAGUCGAACGGAGUAAUGACUUCGGUUAUUACUUAGUGGCGAACGGGUGAGUAACACGUGAAUAAUCUGCCCUGUACGAUGGGAUAACAGCUGGAAACGGCUGCUAAUACCGUAUAUGACCACGCCGAGGCAUCUCGGAGGGGUGAAAGCGCUUAAGCGGUACAGGAUGAGUUCGCGUCCAAUUAGCUAGUUGGUGAGGUAACGGCCCACCAAGGCGACGAUUGGUAGCCGACCUGAGAGGGUGAUCGGCCACACUGGAACUGAGACACGGUCCAGACUCCUACGGGAGGCAGCAGUGGGGAAUAUUGGGCAAUGGAGGAAACUCUUUAACCCCCAGCAAUGCCGCGUGAGUGAUGAAGGUCUUCGGAUUGUAAAGCUCUUUGAUUGGGGACGAAUAAAUGACGGUACCCAAGGAACAAGCCCCGGCUAACUAUGUGCCAGCAGCGGC
rnacentral:rRNA from 1 species